CCUACGGGGGCAGCAGUGGGGAAUAUUGGACAAUGGGCGAAAGCCUGAUCCAGCCAUGCCGCGUGUGUGAAGAAGGCCUUCGGGUUGUAAAGCACUUUCAGUGGGGAAGAAAGCCUUGGGGCUAAUACCCUCGAGGAAGGACAUCACCCACAGAAGAAGCACCGGCUAACUCCGUGCCAGCAGCCGCGGUAAUACGGAGGGUGCGAGCGUUAAUCGGAAUUACUGGGCGUAAAGCGCGCGUAGGCGGUCUGAUAAGCCGGUUGUGAAAGCCCCGGGCUCAACCUGGGAACGGCAUCCGGAACUGUCAGGCUAGAGUGCAGGAGAGGAAGGUAGAAUUCCCGGUGUAGCGGUGAAAUGCGUAGAGAUCGGGAGGAAUACCAGUGGCGAAGGCGGCCUUCUGGACUGACACUGACGCUGAGGUGCGAAAGCGUGGGUAGCAAACAGGAUUAGAUACCCCUGUAGUC
rnacentral:rRNA from 1 species